rnacentral:rRNA from 5 species
CGGAGGCCAUUGCUAUUGGGAUCCGAUUUAGCCAUGCUAGUCGCACGAGUUCAGACUCGUGGCGAAUAGCUCAGUAACACGUGGCCAAACUACCCUUCGGAACACGAUACCCUCGGGAAACUGAGGCUAAUAGUGUAUACCACAUCACCACUGGAAUGAGUGAUGUGCCAAACGCUCCGGCGCCGAAGGAUGUGGCUGCGGCCGAUUAGGUAGACGGUGGGGUAACGGCCCACCGUGCCAAUAAUCGGUACGGGUCAUGAGAGUGAGAACCCGGAGACGGAAUCUGAGACAAGAUUCCGGGCCCU